GCAACUGGACAUGAAGAGAAUAUCAGAAGAGGAGAAAAGAAUAGCCUCAGUUAUGGCCAGAAAAGAAGAAGAGAAAAAGAAAGAAAUCAGUAAACUGGCUGUUCUCAAGGAAAAGCGUCGCAUUGCUAUCAACAAUGCACAGAGGCAAUGGGAGGUGACCCGAACUAAGGAAAUGUAAGUAGUGUCAUGUUUAUUUUUGCAAUGAAACUUUAAGACGAAAUCUUCCUAAUUCUUCCAGCCUCCCUAGGCUUA